AAAAACUGAGGUGGUAUACGAUGGUUCCGCGUCUGAUUAGCUAGUUGGUGGGGUAAAAGCCUACCAAGGCAACGAUCAGUAGCCGGCCUGAGAGGGUGAACGGCCACAUUGGGACUGAGACACGGCCCAAACUCCUACGGGAGGCAGCAGUGGGGAAUAUUGCACAAUGGGGGAAACCCUGAUGCAGCGACGCCGCGUGAGUGAAGAAGUAUUUCGGUAUGUAAGGCUCUAUCAGCAGGGAAGAAAUACUGACCAUAGGGUCAGCAGACGGUACUUGACUAGGAAGCCCCGGCUAACUACGUGCCAGCAGCCGCGGUAAUACGUAGGGGGCAAGCGUUAUCCGGAUUUACUGGGUGUAAAGGGAGCGUAGACGGCAGCGCAAGUCUGAAGUGAAAUGCCAGGGCUUAACCCUGGAACUGCUUUGGAAACUGUGCAGCUAGAGUGCAGGAGAGGUAAGUGGAAUUUCUAGUGUAGCGGUGAAAUGCGUAGAUAUUAGGAGGAACACCAGUGGCGAAGGCGGCUUACUGGACUGUAACUGACGUUGAGGCUCGAAAGCGUGGGGAGCAAACAGGAUUAGAUACCCUGGUAGUCCACGCUGUAAAC
rnacentral:rRNA from 1 species